AAAUCGGGUGAAUUGCAAGAAAAUCUUAUAAACUAAUAAGACAACUUGCAGCUAAGCUUAAAUCAGUGUAUAUCUAUAUUUGUAGAUAGUGAUGUAAGAAAGUUCAACGACUAAUCAGUGAGUUGCACUAACAAUAAUCUGGACACGAGCGCCCGAC
rnacentral:ribozyme from 1 species